CCGGCUGGUCAAGUGGUCUUGGCCAACGUUUACCGUGCAGCUGAAGCAGUUGAGGACUUCACUGGUGUGCUUACAUCAUUGAAAAUGGAACUUGAUGACAGUAUUGGAUUGAGCGGCGAGGAUGUAAAGCCCUUGUCAGAUGAGAAUGCCAGUGCCCUU